rnacentral:rRNA from 1 species
GAUCCCAAGGCGCGCGAGAGAAACCUCGUUAAGGAACUCGGCAAAAUGAUCCCGUAACCUAGGAAUAAGGGAUGCCCCUGGGGGUUAAGAGCUUCUGGGGGUCGCAGAGAAACGGCCCAAGCGACUGUUUAACAAAAACACAGGUCUCUGCUAAGUCGCAAGACGAAGUAUAGGGGCUGACGCCUGCCCAGUGCCGGAAGGUUAAGGGGAGGGGUUAGGGCAACCGAAGCUCUGAACCGAAGCCCCGGUGAACGGCGGCUGUAACUAUAACAGUCCUAAGGUAGCGAAAUUCCUUGUCGGGUAAGUUCCGACCUGCACGAAUGGCGUAACGACUUGGGCGCUGUCUCAACGAGGUACUCGGCGAAACUGUAAAUACUUGUGAAGAUACAAGUUACCCGCGACUAGACGGAAAGACCCCAUGGAGCUUCACUGUAACCUGAGAUUGGAUCUUGGCAGGGCAUGUACAGGAUAGGUGGGACGCUGGGAUGCACGGGCGCAAGCCUGUGCGGAGCGGACGUUGGGAUACCACCCUUGUUUUGCCGGGGUCCUAACCGCAUCCCGUAAACCGGGGGCGAGACAAUCUCAGGCGGGCAGUUUGACUGGGGCGGUCGCCUCCCAAAGAGUAACGGAGGCGCUCAAAGGUCCUCUCAGCGCGGUUAGAAAUCGCGCACGGAGUGUAAAGGCGUAAGAGGGCUUGACUGCGAGACUGACAAGUCGAGCAGGGACGAAAGUCGGACUUAGUGAUCAGGUGGUACCGAGUGGAAGGGCCAUCGCUUAACGGACAAAAGCUACCCUGGGGAUAACAGGCUUAUCUCCCCCAAGAGUCCAUAUCGACGGGGAGGUUUGGCACCUCGAUGUCGGCUCAUCGCAUCCUGGAGCUGAAGUAGGUUCCAAGGGUUGGGCUGUUCGCCCAUUAAAGCGGUACGUGAGCUGGGUUCAGAACGUCGUGAGACAGUUCGGUCCCUAUCUGUCGCGGGCGCAGGAGGUUUGAGGGGCUCGGUCCCUAGUACGAGAGGACCGGGACGGACGCACCUCUGGUGCACCGGUUGUCACGCCAGUGGCACAGCCGGAUAGCCAAGUGCGGAUCGGAUAAGCGCUGAAAGCAUCUAAGCGCGAAACCGGCCCCAAGAUGAGACCUCCCACCGGGCCAACCGGGUAAGACCCCUUGCAGAACACAAGGUCGAUAGGCCGGCAAUGCAAGCGCCGCAAUGCGCUAAGUUCACCGGUACUAAUAGGUCGAGGGCUUGACCAA